CGGUCCAGACUCCUACGGGAGGCAGCAGUAGGGAAUCUUCCGCAAUGGGGGAAAGCCUGACGGAGCAACGCCGCGUGAGUGAUGAAGGUCUUCGGAUCGUAAAACUCUGUUAUUAGGGAAGAACAUAUGUGUAAGUAACUGUGCACAUCUUGACGGUACCUAAUCAGAAAGCCACGGCUAACUACGUGCCAGCAGCCGCGGUAA
rnacentral:rRNA from 1 species